rnacentral:rRNA from 1 species
UACGGAGGGCGCGAGCGUUACCCGGAUUUACUGGGCGUAAAGGGCGUGUAGGCGGCUUGGGGCGUCCCAUGUGAAAGACCACGGCUCAACCGUGGGGGAGCGUGGGAUACGCUCAAGCUAGAGGGUGGGAGAGGGUGGUGGAAUUCCCGGAGUAGCGGUGAAAUGCGCAGAUACCGGGAGGAACGCCGAUGGCGAAGGCAGCCACCUGGUCCACUUCUGACGCUGAGGCGCGAAAGCGUGGGGAGCAAACCGG